GACGGAGGGUGCUAGCGUUGUUCGGAAUCACUGGGCGUAAAGGGCGCGUAGGCGGCCUUGCAAGUCGGUUGGUGAAAGCCCGGGGCUCAACCCCGGAGGUGCGGCCGAGACUGCAGGGCUGGAGGCCGGAAGAGGAGGGUGGAAUACCCAGUGUAGAGGUGAAAUUCGUAGAUAUUGGGUGGAACACCGGUGGCGAAAGCGGCUCUCUGGUCCGGACCUGACGCUGAGGCGCGAAAGCGUGGGGAGCAAA
rnacentral:rRNA from 1 species